AUACUUACCUGGCAGGGGAGAUACCAUGAUCAAGAAGGUUGUUCUCCCAGGGUGAGGCUCAACCAGUGCACUUGGGUUGUGCUGACCUCUGCAAAUUCCCCAAAUGUGGGAAUCUCGACUGCACAAUUUCUGGUAGUGGGUGACUGCGUCCGCGCUCUCCCCUG